CCUACGGGAGGCAGCAGUAGGGAAUCUUGCGCAAUGGGCGAAAGCCUGACGCAGCCAUGCCGCGUGAAUGAUGAAGGUCUUAGGAUUGUAAAAUUCUUUCACCGGGGACGAUAAUGACGGUACCCGGAGAAGAAGCCCCGGCUAACUUCGUGCCAGCAGCCGCGGUAAUACGAAGGGGGCUAGCGUUGCUCGGAAUUACUGGGCGUAAAGGGAGCGUAGGCGGAUAGUUUAGUCAGAGGUGAAAGCCCAGGGCUCAACCUUGGAACUGCCUUUGAUACUGGCUAUCUUGAGUACGGGAGAGGUGAGUGGAACUCCGAGUGUAGAGGUGAAAUUCGUAGAUAUUCGGAAGAACACCAGUGGCGAAGGCGACUCACUGGCCCGUUACUGACGCUGAGGCUCGAAAGCGUGGGGAGCAAACAGGAUUAGAUACCCUGGUAGUCCACGCUGUAAACGAUGAGUGCUAGUUGUCGGCAUGCAUGCAUGUCGGUGACGCAGCUAACGCAUUAAGUACACCUCCGCCGUCGGGGUAGGUACGGGUCGGCGAACGAAGUUAAAACGUUAACAAACUAGAAGUUAGUACGGCGUGAGACGUCGCCGACGGACGACGACGAGGGAGAGG
rnacentral:rRNA from 1 species